AACAGAACACAAUCUUCAUCAUCACACAAGACACAACAACAACAAUGAACAACAUCAUCAUCCUCAUCUGGACUCUCACACUGUUUGCUCAAGAAUGUAGAGGACAGUACACUGUGACUCAGAGUCCAUCAAUAACAGCAGCUCAACCAGGACAAGAAGUCAGAAUAAACUGUAAAACCAGCAGUAAUGUGCAUGGUGGUAAUUAUUUAGCCUGGUAUUUACAGAAACCUGGAGAAGCUCCUAAACUCCUCAUAUAUGCUGCAACAAGCCGUUACACUGGAACUCCAUCUAGAUUCAGUGGCAGUGGAUCUAACAGUGAUUUCACUCUGACCAUCAGUGGAGUCCAGACUGAAGAUACAGGAGAUUAUUACUGUCACAGUGAACACUACAUCAACAGUAAAUAUGUGUUCACACAGUGAUAAAGAGUCGUACAAAAACCUCCGUCAGUCAGAGUCACAGUGACUGCACUGAUACA